AUUGAACGCUGGCGGUAUGCUUAACACAUGCAAGUCGAACGGCAGCAUGAUUUGUAGUAAUACGAAUUGAUGGCGAGUGGCGGACGGGUGAGGAACACGUAGGGAUCUGCCUUGUAGAGGGGGACAACUAGAGGAAACUCUAGCUAAUACCGCAUAAGGUCUAAGGACCAAAGGCUGGGUAGAGAUACCUGGCGCUAUGAGAGGAACCUGCGUCUGAUUAGCUAGUUGGUAGGGUAAAGGCCUACCAAGGCGAAGAUCGGUAGCUGGUCUGAGAGGAUGAUCAGCCACGCUGGGACUGAGACACGGCCCAGACUCCUACGGGGGGCAGCAGUGGGGAAUAUUGGACGAUGGGGGGAACCCUGAUCCAGCAAUACCGCGUGUGUGAAGAAGGCCUUCGGGUUGUAAAGCACUUUAGGUUGGGAAGAAGGUUUGUUGUUUAAGAGAUGACGAGCUUGACGGUACCGACAGAAUAAGCACCGGCUAACUCUGUGCCAGCAGCCGCGGUAA
rnacentral:rRNA from 1 species